UACGUAGGGUGCGAGCGUUAAUCGGAAUUACUGGGCGUAAAGCGCGCGCAGGCGGUCUUCCAAGUCAGUGGUGAAAGCCCGGAGCUCAACUCCGGAACUGCCAUUGAAACUGUUAGACUUGAGGACGAGAGAGGUGAGUGGAAUUCCCAGUGUAGAGGUGAAAUUCGUAGAUAUUGGGAAGAACACCGGUGGCGAAGGCGGCUCACUGGCUCGUAUCUGACGCUCAGGCGCGACAGCGUGGGGAUCAAACAGG
rnacentral:rRNA from 1 species